UUGUGCUUGAUACUUGUGAUAUCUAAAUAUGUUAGUUGGGUCUGUUUAAAAUGCAGUAACCCACAUGUGAGACAAGCUAAUCGCUAGCGUCGCUAACGGCUACAGUGAGUCAACCGAGCCUUUGUCCCUUUCAAAUGUGCUACUCUGAGUUGGUGAAACCACACACCUGUGUGGGGAACAGCUAAUAGCGAUGGGCCUUCGAUCGGCGACAGGCAGGAAGCGGUGGAUCGAGCUUUUGUCCUGUUGACGUGCUGCCGCUCCUGUUUGUGUGUUGCGUUAGCCGUUAGCAUGCCUUUAGGCCUUUGCACUUUAGAGCUACAGCUGGUCAUCGCUACAAAAAGAACCUGCAGAUGAACGCGGUUAUGUUUAUUACCCCGUCCUGUGUCACAGCCUAAAUCAACUUGUGAUUUGGGGUUAUGUCAUUGUUCUAUCAAAUUCUAACAUGGUUAGUUGGAAUGAUUACUGUGUUGUGUUUCAAGCUUAGUUGCUAAUUAGUCACAUCUCUACAAUACCUGCUGCUUAUCUGGUCAGUUACCGAUAGCUUGUACCAUAGCCAUUAUAUUUGUAGGACCAAUACAAUUUACAGUAAAUGUAACAGUCUUUUCUAUACUGUAGGAGGGCAAAUCCCAGUUGCCCACAUGCAAGGAGGCUGUCAAACAGAGAAAUCACUGCAGACUGUUGGUACACAGACAUCUGCUGCCCAGCUCAGGAGUGAAGUACCUUUUGUUUUGAUGAGGUGAUGGUGAGGACAGCCACAGUCUCCAUCUGGUAGAGGACUGCUUCCGCUCAGUCUUCCAAAUAGUGAUGAGAACAAGGAUCACCACAUCUCCCUGUUUACCCUACUUUCAUGCAUUUCGUCUGCAAGGCCCUGCAAAAGCUUCUCCUUCGUCCUCAAACCCCCAGACUUCUUAAUUAACUCAGUAACCUAUACAUUGCACAUUGGAGUGUGAAGGUAACAGUUUGUUCUAGCUUUGGAGUAGUGGUGCAUUUUUUUGGUUUACAAUAAAGUUGGCUUUAACUAUUA